rnacentral:rRNA from 1 species
CCUACGGGAGGCAGCAGUGGGGAAUAUUGGACAAUGGGCGAAAGCCUGAUCCAGCCAUGCCGCGUGUGUGAAGAAGGCCUUCGGGUUGUAAAGCACUUUCAGUGGGGAAGAAAGCCUUGGGGCUAAUACCCUCGAGGAAGGACAUCACCCACAGAAGAAGCACCGGCUAACUCCGUGCCAGCAGCCGCGGUAAUACGGAGGGUGCGAGCGUUAAUCGGAAUUACUGGGCGUAAAGCGCGCGUAGGCGGUCUGAUAAGCCGGUUGUGAAAGCCCCGGGCUCAACCUGGGAACGGCAUCCGGAACUGUCAGGCUAGAGGGCAGGAAAGGAAGGUAGAAUUCCCGGUGUAGCGGUGAAAUGCGUAGAGAGCGGGAGGAAUACCAGUGGCGAAGGCGGCCUUCUGGACUGACACUGACGCUGAGGUGCGAAAGCGUGGGUAGCAAACAGGAUUAGAGACCCGUGUAGUC